GGCCCUAUGGCCUAAUGGUAAGGCGUCAGAUUUCGGUUACAUGUAUCCUCUGAAGAUUGUGGGUUCGAAUCCUACUGGGGUCG